ensembl:lncRNA
AUAUAUAUGUAUGUAUAUAUAUAUAUAUAUAUAUAUAUAUAUAUAUAUAUAUAUAUAUAUAUAUAUAUAUAUAUAUAUAUAUAUAUAUAUAUACAUACAUAUAUAUAUAUAUACAUAUAUAUAUAUAGUAUGUACUCUGUUUAUAAAGUAAAAAUUAUUAAAUAGAUUUCAUGGUGUAAAGCUACUCUGUUUCUGUAAAUACGCUGUAAAAUGAGCUUGAAAGUAUAUAUCUGUUUUUGUGUUGUUUUGUGUUUAAUGUUAUAAUUUUUGUGCUGUGGGUUUCUGUGAGUUUUGGUUUGUGUUAUAGGUUACUGGGUUUUUGUGCAGUAUUUUUAGGCUCAUGCACUUUGUGUGAUAUGAGAGCCCGAAGUUGUCAGGUUUCAUCAUCUGAACGGAUUUAAAGGAGGAGGAAGCAUGGCAGUCAGAGAUGAUUCUUCACUGAUGAGUGGAAUGCAUUCAUCUCAGGCAGUGCACUAAUUGUUUGAUUAUACAGGGCUUCUCUUUAAUGAAGCUCCUCUUUGGCAUUUGGGAACAUGGAGCGCCAUCGAAUUACCCACGCGACACUCACGCUGGGAAAGUUGAUCACUCAUUAGCCGUGACUGAGAGUAUCUCCAAGGCUCUCCUGAAGAUGGACUCACUCCAGGGCUGUUUUUCCAAUUACAGAGUUCCCUCUGCAAUCAAGGUCAUCACAAUUAGCUUCUCCCAGUCAAAAGCACAGAAUAGUGGAUGCGACUGUGCCAGUGACCGCUGGAUUGUCUUUGCAGCCCACUCAAGUGGCUAUUUCAUGGCUGCAGGCAAAUGCAUUAGAAGAAACCUGAAGAUUAGCUGUGGGCGAACUGAAAAGACAUCUUGGAAAGAGAAAAGGCUUUCAAAAUCAAUAUUAGCUAGCAUCUAUUAUGCACUCAGCAGCGGGUUGUAGAGUUUUGUAUGGUGGCGCUGAUGGAAAAUGGAGGGUGCUGUGUGGACUCUGCAUUUCUCUAUUAUCACCAUUACAGAUAAACUCUAAAUGGAUGUACUCAGAACUAUAUAAAGAGGUGAGGGCACAAUCUUCUCUUCUAAUUUUCUGCAGCAUGAUUGAAACGUGCAUAUUACAAAAAAAUCAUAUAAAAAGCCUCUAUAUUAUUUUGCAACUGCAGACCGUGAAUGUUUAUCAAAGAGUGUAGUGUUUGCAUUGUCUUUGUCAUUCUCACCCAUAUAACCUAUUCCUUUGUCUCUCUGUGUGUGUAUUAAGUCCUUUGUGUAGUGUUUGCAUUUAUCUUUAUUCACAUAACUGUGUUGCGGAGAAAAUAAAAAAAAAUAAAAAAAUCACUGAUCCUCAUAUCCUUAUUUCCUGUAGCAUAUUUACCGAGUGUGUUUGGAGCAGAUGGUGAGGGACUAAAGCUCCAUGGUGGAGGGAAGGCGUCUAAUUGCUUUAAGUAAAUCGAUACGGGACUGCAGCUAGCAGCAAUCCCUCACUCUACAUCAGCCUCUCGCUGCAAUUACCACAUUGAUUGGCCACUGCUAAUUGAAGGCCUCGUUAUUUCAGCUUUAUGCAGUCAUGGUGACAGAGCUCAGACCCCAGCAAAAAUUCUUUGUU